rnacentral:rRNA from 1 species
CCUACGGGAGGCAGCAGUGGGGAAUAUUGCACAAUGGGGGAAACCCUGAUGCAGCGACGCCGCGUGAGUGAGGAAGUAUUUCGGUAUGUAAAGCUCUAUCAGCAGGGGAGAAAAUGACGGUACCUGUCUAAGAAGCCCCGGCUAACUACGUGCCAGCAGCCGCGGGAAUACGGAGGGGGCAGGCGUUAUCCGGAUUUACUGGGGGUAAAGGGAGCGUAGACGGAAUAGCAAGUCUGAUGUGAAAACCCGGGGCUCAACUCCGGGAGUGCAAUGGAAACUGGUGAUCUGGAGUGUCGGAGAGGUAAGCGGAAUUCGUAGUGUAGCGGUGAAAUGCGUAGAUAUUAGGAGGAACACCAGUGGCGAAGGCGGCUUACUGGACGAACACUGACGUUGAGGCUCGAAAGCGUGGGUAGCAAACAGGAUUAGAUACCCUGGUAGUC